UCCCUGGCGGUCCAGUGGUUAGGACACUGCGCUCUUACUGCCAAGGGCCUGGGUUCAAUUCCCAGUUGGGGAA